AUUGAACGCUGGCGGCAGGCCUAACACAUGCAAGUCGAGCGAGCGGCGGACGGGUGAGUAAUGUAUGGGGAUCUGCCCGAUAGAGGGGGCUAACUACUGGAAACGGUGGCUAAUACCGCAUCCUAUCGGACGGACCCACAUGGGAUUAGCUAGUAGGUGGGGUAAUGGCCAACCUCGGCGACGAUCCCUAGCUGGUCUGAGAGGAUGACCAGCCACACUGGAACUGAGACACGGUCCAGACUCCUACGGGAGGAAGCAGUGGGGAAUAUUGCACAAUGGGCGCAAGCCUGAUGCAGCCAUGCCGCGUGUGUGAAGAAGGCCUUCGGGUUGUAAAGCACUUUCAGCGAGGAGGCGUUACUCGCAGAAGAAGCACCGGCUAACUCCGUGCCAGCAGCCGCGGUAAUUC
rnacentral:rRNA from 1 species